UUCCGGUUGAUCCUGCCGGACCCGACUGCUAUCAGAGUGGGACUAAGCCAUGCGAGUCAACGCAGCAAUGCGUGGCAUACGGCUCAGUAACACGUAGUCAACAUGCCCAGGGGACGUGGAUAACCUCGGGAAACUGAGGAUAAACCGCGAUAGGCCAAGGUUUCUGGAAUGGACCAUGGCUGAAACCUAUAUGGCCCCUGGAUUGGACUGCGGCCGAUCAGGCUGUUGGUGAGGUAAUGGCCCACCAAACCUGUAACCGGUACGGGCUCUGAGAGGAGGAGCCCGGAGAUGGGCACUGAGACAAGGGCCCAGGCCCUAUGGGGCGCAGCAGGCGCGAAACCUCUGCAAUAGGCGAAAGCUUGACAGGGUUACUCUGAGUGAUGCCCGUUAAGGGCAUCUUUUGGCACUUCUAAAAAUAGUGUAGAAUAAGGGGUGGGCAAGUCUGGUGUCAGCCGCCGCGGUAAUACCAGCACCCCGAGUGGUCGGGACGAUUAUUGGGCCUAAAGCAUCCGUAGCCGGUUCUGCAAGUCUUCCGUUAAAUCCACCUGCUCAACAGAUGGGCUGCGGGGGAUACUACAGGGCUAGGAGGCGGGAGAGGCAAGCGGUACUCGGUGGGUAGGGGUAAAAUCCUCUGAUCCACCGAAGACCACCAGUGGCGAAGGCGGCUUGCCAGAACGCGCUCGACGGUGAGGGAUGAAAGCUGGGGGAGCAAACCGGAUUAGAUACCCGGGUAGUCCCAGCUGUAAACGAUGCAGACUCGGUGAUGGGUUGGCUUUGAGCCAACCCAGUGCCGCAGGGAAGCCGUUAAGUCUGCCGCCUGGGGAGUACGGUCGCAAGACUGAAACUUAAAGGAAUUGGCGGGGGAGCACCACAAGGGGUGAAGCCUGCGGUUCAAUUGGAUUCAACGCCGGG
rnacentral:rRNA from 1 species